AUUGAUCGCUGGCGGCAGGCCUAACACAUGCAAGUCGAACGGUAGCACAGAGAGCUUGCUCUCGGGUGACGAGUGGCGGACGGGUGAGUAAUGUCUGGGAAACUGCCUGAUGGAGGGGGAUAACUACUGGAAACGGUAGCUAAUACCGCAUAACGUCGCAAGACCAAAGAGGGGGACCUUCGGGCCUCUUGCCAUCAGAUGUGCCCAGAUGGGAUUAGCUAGUAGGUGGGGUAACGGCUCACCUAGGCGACGAUCCCUAGCUGGUCUGAGAGGAUGACCAGCCACACUGGAACUGAGACACGGUCCAGACUCCUACGGGAGGCAGCAGUGGGGAAUAUUGCACAAUGGGCGAAAGCCUGGUGCAGCCAUGCCGCGUGUAUGAAGAAGGCCUUCGGGUUGUAAAGUACUUUCAGCGGGGAGGAAGGCGAUAAGGUUAAUAACCUUGUCGAUUGACGUUACCCGCAGAAGAAGCACCGGCUAACUCCGUGCCAGCCGCCGCCGUAACAC
rnacentral:rRNA from 1 species